rnacentral:rRNA from 1 species
AUUGAACGCUGGCGGCAGGCCUAACACAUGCAAGUCGAGCGGAGCGGCGGACGGGUGAGUAAUGCCUAGGAAUCUGCCUGGUAGGGGAGGAUAACGUCCGGAAACGGACGCUAAUACCGCAUCCUAUCAGAUGAGCCUAGGGUGGAUUAGCUAGUUGGUGGGGUACAGGCCUACCAAGGCGACGAUCCGUAACUGGUCUGAGAUGGUGAUCAGUCACACUGGAACUGAGACAAGGUCCAGACUCCUACGGGCGGCAGCAGUGGGGAAUAUUGGACAAUGGGCGAAAGCCUGAUCCAGCCAGGCCGCGUGUGUGAAGAAGGUCUUCGGAUUGUAAAGCACUUUAGGUUGGGAGGCGUUACCAACAGAAUAAGCACCGGCUAACUUCGUGCCAGCAGCCGCGGUAAUUC